rnacentral:SRP_RNA from 3 species
CCAUUGCGAUGGGUAAGUGUGAACCUGGUCAGGACGGGAACGUAGCAGCCAUAAGCUUCUUAUUCAUGUGCAAUGGUUUUU